AUUGAACGCUGGCGGCAUGCCUUACACAUGCAAGUCGAACGGCAGCACGGGGGCAACCCUGGUGGCGAGUGGCGAACGGGUGAGUAAUACAUCGGAACGUGCCCGGUAGUGGGGGAUAGCUCGGCGAAAGCCGGAUUAAUACCGCAUACGACCUGCGGGUGAAAGCGGGGGAUCGCAAGACCUCGCGCUAUCGGAGCGGCCGAUGUCAGAUUAGGUUGUUGGUGGGGUAAAGGCCACCAAGCCGACGAUCUGUAGCUGGUCUGAGAGGACGACCAGCCACACUGGGACUGAGACACGGCCCAGACUCCUACGGGAGGCAGCAGUGGGGAAUACUGGACAAGUGGGCGCAAGCCUGAUCCAGCGAUGCCGCGUGUGUGAAGAAGGCCUGCGGGUU
rnacentral:rRNA from 1 species